CCUCCUCUAGCGAUCUCUAGCGUCGUUGCUCCGCCGUCUCCUCUGUUCUCCUUCUAUGUCAUCCACGACUCAAAAUUCCACUCUGCAAUCAACAUCUUGAUGAAAUUUCUCCCAUUACCCUCCUCUGUUAUGUUUCCUAUCCAAUCUCUGAAUCCCCUUGGUUUUAACUAACGUCAUGUAUUUUCAGAACAAUUAGUAAAACAAUUGUCAGCCGGAAGAUGGUUGAUGCACCGGAACAGAUUGUGUACGGCCGGAAGGUUGAAGCUGAUUGAGUGGUUGUGUUAUCGUCGGAGAGGCUGCGGGGUGGAUGGACUACCCUCGUGCAUCCACUAUGGAGAUUAUGAUCCAAAGGAAGGGACUAGGGAAGGAGGUCUGAUCUGCAUCUCAUCAGGGAGCACACGACAAAAUCCUUUUAGUUGGGCCGCGUUCCUUCCGUCAGAACAGCUCACCCUGAUGGUUACGUGCAGGCUUUAACGGUUUUUUCGUUUUACCUCAGUUAAUUAAUAUUUAUUGUUUGAGUGUUAUCCAAUGAAAUUAGUUAAUGUUUCUCA